GCCAGGCAUGGUGGUUCAUGCCUGUAAUCCCAACAACUCGGAAGGCUGAGGCAGGAGGAUUGCAAGUUUAAGGUCAGCCUCACAAGUUGGUGAGGCCUUAAGCAGCUUAGUGAGACAGACUGUCUCUA
rnacentral:sRNA from 1 species